ACCAUAACCACCAUUACCAUCAUAACCACCAUCACCAUCACCACCACCAGCAGCAGCACCACCACCACAACCAGCAUCAGCAGCAUCACCAUCACUACCAGAAUCUCUGCCAAUUUGUUAGGCAAAAAUGUAGCUAAUUCUUUAUUUUCCGGUCAGGCCUGCAGUGAGUGGUCUGUGUGUCGGAAGGUGGGUCCCACCGGAGGUGAUAAUGGGAGCUGGUGCAAUCUUUGAGAGGUUAUAAAUGACAAGGAUCAACACAGGAUAGAAGCCGACAGACUGUAGACAAACUGAAUGACAAGCGGCCCGUAAGGACGUAAGAACGAGAAGUGGGGCAUGUCAAGAGAAUGAGCCAAUGACGAAGAGACCAUUAGGAACAGCAAGACCCUUGUCACCUGUCCUGUAUCUCUGCUGUUCUACCGUGUGCCCUGUGCCCCCUGGGAGAAGUCCUCCCAGAGA